UACGUAAGGUCCGAGCGUUGUCCGGAAUUAUUGGGCGUAAAGGGUACGCAGGCGGUUAAGCAAGUUAGAAGUGAAAUCCUAUAGCUCAACUAUAGUAAGCUUUUAAAACUGUUCAUCUUGAGGUAUGGAGAGGAGAGUGGAAUUCCAAGUGUAGCGGUGAAAUGCGCAGAUAUUAGGAGGAAUACCGGUGGCGAAGGCGGCUUUCUGGCCAUAAACUGACGCUGAGGUACGAAAGCGUGGGUAGCAAACAGG
rnacentral:rRNA from 1 species